rnacentral:rRNA from 1 species
AGUGAACGCUGGCGGUGGGCCUAACACAUGCAAGUCGAACGGCAGCACAGUACGAGCUUGCUCUUACGGGUGGCGAGUGGCGGACGGGUGAGGAAUAUAUCGGAAUCUACUUUUUCGUGGGGGUUAACGUAGGGAAACCUACGCUAAUAUCGCAUACGACCUACGGGUGAAAGCAGGGGAUCUUUGGACCUUGCGCGAUUGAAUGAGCCGAUGCGGGAGUAGCUAGUUGGCGGGGUAAAGGCCCACCAAGGCGCCGAUCGGUAGCUGGUCUGAGAGGCGGGUAGGCGGCACUGGAGGUGGAACACGGUCCAGGGGACUGAGGGAGGCAGCAGUGGGGAAUGUUGGGCAGUGGGGGGAAGCAUGAUCCAACGAUACCGCGUGGGUGAAGGAAGCCUUCGGGGUGGAAAGACGUUUUGUGGGGAGAAAACAGCAGCAGGUUGAUACGCCGCUGGUCUGACGGUAACCGAAGAAGAAGCACCGGCUAACUUCGUG